CCUACGGGAGGCAGCAGUGAGGAAUAUUGGUCAAUGGACGAGAGUCUGAACCAGCCAAGUAGCGUGAAGGAUGACUGCCCUAUGGGUUGUAAACUUCUUUUAUAUGGGAAUAAAAUGUUCCACGUGUGGGAUUUUGUAUGUACCAUAUGAAUAAGGAUCGGCUAACUCCGUGCCAGCAGCCGCGGUAAUAAGGAGGAUCCGAGCGUUAUCCGGAUUUCUUGGGUUUAAAGGGAGCGUAGGUGGAUUGUUAAGUCAGUUGUGAAAGUUUGCGGCUCAACCGUAAAAUUGCAGUUGAAACUGGCAGUCUUGAGUACAGUAGAGGUGGGCGGAAUUCGUGGUGUAGCGGUGAAAUGCUUAGAUAUCACGAAGAACUCCGAUUGCGAAGGCAGCUCACUGGACUGCAACUGACACUGAGGCUCGAAAGUGUGGGUAUCAAACAGGAUUAGAUACUCUAGUAGUC
rnacentral:rRNA from 1 species